GGGCCUGUAGCUCAGCUGGCUAGAGCACUUGGUUCGCAAUCAAGGGGUCAGGAGUUCGAAUCUCCUCAGGUCCACCA
rnacentral:tRNA from 5 species